rnacentral:rRNA from 1 species
GACGAACGCUGGCGGCGUGCCUAAUACAUGCAAGUAGAACGCUGAAGGAGGAGCUUGCUUCUCUGGAUGAGUUGCGAACGGGUGAGUAACGCGUAGGUAACCUGCCUGGUAGCGGGGGAUAACUAUUGGAAACGAUAGCUAAUACCGCAUAAGAGUAGAUGUUGCAUGACAUUUGCUUAAAAGGUGCAAUUGCAUCACUACCAGAUGGACCUGCGUUGUAUUAGCUAGUUGGUGGGGUAACGGCUCACCAAGGCGACGAUACAUAGCCGACCUGAGAGGGUGAUCGGCCACACUGGGACUGAGACACGGCCCAGACUCCUACGGGAGGCAGCAGUAGGGAAUCUUCGGCAAUGGACGGAAGUCUGACCGAGCAACGCCGCGUGAGUGAAGAAGGUUUUCGGAUCGUAAAGCUCUGUUGUAAGAGAAGAACGAGUGUGAGAGUGGAAAGUUCACACUGUGACGGUAUCUUACCAGAAAGGGACGGCUAAGUACGUG